UUUGAGUUUGGGCUGACCUCUUGGAGCACAGAAGAGCUUGCUCUUUGCCCUGAUGAAUGGUUGCCUAUGAAACUAAACAGCCUCCAGUCCAAACCAGCUCACAUGGGUAGCCUCCUCUUAAGUUUCCUUUUCUUCUUUGUCUCAACAAAAACCCCUCCAAUGAAUGAUCUGCCUCUCCUGUGUUAGCAGACCUGAGCUCUUCUAAAGAUCACUAUUUCAACACCACUUUGGAUUUUCUCUGACUUUGCAAAGACUGUUGAGGAAUAGUAUUUACUUGCUUAGACCUCUGAACAACUGGAGGACCUGUUGGCAAUCCCAUGGCCACUGGCCUCAAGGACAAUAUAAACCAGAUGGGAAGACCAUGUGGAUGCUCAGGAAAUAGCUACCAUUGCAAAACAGUAAAAAUUAGGGUCACUGUGAUUUAAAAGUAGGAAAUGCUGGGUGACUUUAGGAAGUGGAAAACUUCACAGAAGAGGAAAGCUUACAGUUGGACCAAGGAUUUGAAAGCCACAAGAGCAAAGACACACAAGUGGGCCCACAUAGAUGUGCAACGGUGUUACUUUAGUGAUACGCAACUGGCAACUGUAAAUUCAAUUAUUCACUGAGAGAGCGGACACGGAGGAAAGUGGUGAUGUCACCACUAGCCUCCACUCUAAGACACCAGUGACAACCGUUUGUUCCACCAGGCAGGAUAGAACUGUGAAGGCCUGUUUGUUCUUAGAGGAAAGAAGCAAGGACAGAAGCAAAGUGAGGUAUUUUAGAGCUUGGCAGUGGUUCUAGGUGCUCCCUCGCUGCAUCCAGAAACAAGCUGUCUGGUUUCUCCUCCUCAAUAUCUGCCCCUUUGCUGUUCUUCCCUUUUCUUGCCUCCUCCCUUUAGGUUAUGGCAGCACUUGAUCAAAGAAGUCACUACCCAGGGCCAUUCCUACCUUGGACACAUGUAAGGGCUAACUCACCCAAACAAGAAUGAGAGGCAGGUAAGGAAACACUUCUCACACUGCAAGUGUAUCAUUACAACACCCAGGGAUCUUGUUGAAAUGCAGACUCUGAUUCCUUAGGUCUGGGUGGGACUUGAGAUUCCUCUUUUCUUAUAAGUUCCCUGCUGAUGUCAAUUUGACUAGUCCUUGGGCCACACUAAGUGUAGCAAGGAGAAUCACGCAUCACAAUGCCAAGAUUCUCCCCACAAAAUUGUGGCCCUUCCUUCUGUCCCUAACUUUAUGGAAACAGUAACUGGAACCUUCAUCUCUCCUGACAAUGGGGCAAGGGAGACAACGUCUGCUUCUGGGGCUAUCGUAGGAUGAUAUGAGAGGAGCAGGUCAUGACUAUGCCUGGCACUGAACCUAGGACUCAGAGCAGCUUGUGAAUGUCACUCACUGUCCUUCCUUAUUUCUUGAGCCUGCAGAUGUUAAGGAUGCAGCAAGACUGGAGCAAAGGGCUGGAAGAAUAAGGACUGGAGUAAGAGAGCCAUGAGUGCAAGAAAGGCCCUACCAGCUAUUCUGGGGAAUAUAUACAAUAGUCCCUUCUUAUCCACGGUUUUGCUUUCCACAGUUAACUGUGGUCCAAAAAUAUUAAAUAGAACAUUCCAGAAAUAAACAAUUUGUAAGUUUUAGUUUGCAUGACGUUCUGAGUAGUGUGAUGAAAUCUCUCACCAUCUUGCUCCAUCUGCCCAGGACAUGAAUCAUUCCAUCCAUGCUACCUGCCUAUUAGUCACUUAAGUAGUCUUCUCAGUUAUCAGAUAAAAAAAAAUAGGAUAUAUAAAAUUCAGUAUGAUCCACAGUUUCAGGCAUCCACAGGGGUCUUGGACUGUAUUCCCUGUGAAUAAACGGGGACUACUGUACUUGAUUUUGCAAGCAAUCAGACUUAUGGAAGAUUCUGAACAAGCUGGAGACUUGAUGGACACAGUGAUAGGAACACUAUGGGAUGUUAGCUAGUCUGGAGAUGGGAGAGUAAUACAGAAAGAUCAAGUGGGCAGUGUAAUAUAACAGAAAGAACUCUUGGAAUAAAGUCAAAACAAGUGGAUUCUGCUACUUUUCCAGCUGUGGAGCUUAGGCAGCUUACCUCAGCUAUUGGGAUUUAAUUUCCCCCACCUGAAAAAUAAGGCUUCAUUACUAGACUGGGUCAAGCCCUGCCAGCACUGAAACGAUCUGCUAGAAUUCUACUCACUGCACUAAUUCAAGCUUGCCAUGAUGAAGGGUAAAAUUAACAGCAUAAGUGACAGAACAUAGAGGAAGUUAAGGCAUGGAAGAUGUUCACAAUGUUGGAAUGACGGGGCUUAAUGAAUGAUUAAGGACACAAGGAAGAGAGGAACCAAAGUGAUUUUGAGUUUAUCCUGGGAUACUAUGAUCCUGGUAGUUCCAAAAGAAGGGGCUGGUUUGGGAGAAUGAUGAUGAUAACACUUUGAAUAAUACUGAGUAAAAACUGGAAAUGAAUCAUUGUGUGCAGGCCUGGACUACGGAACUUGCACAAACCCGAGAGUGAGGGAGCACCUCCUUAAAUGUGGCCCCCUAGGACCCAUACUCAUCUCACAGUAGUUCCAGCCUGAUCUUGUGGAAAUAUUUAGAAGCUGAAACAAAGGAGGGGCAGAAAAGAAGGGACUAUAAAGUUGAGCCUGGCCCUUACCUUCGA